rnacentral:tRNA from 1 species
GCUGCUGUAGCUCAGCUGGUAGAGCAAUGCAUUCGUAAUGCAUGGGUCGGGGGUUCGAGUCCCUUCAGCAGCACCA